AUUCUCAGUUCGGAUUGUAGGCUGAAACUCGCCUACAUGAAGCUGGAGUUACUAGUAAUCGCAGAUCAGAAUGCUGCGGUGAAUGCGUUCCCGGGUCUUGUACACACCGCCCGUCACACCACGGAAGUUGGGGGCGCCCAAAGCCACUUAGCUAACCCAUUUGGGAAGCGAGUGUCGAAGGUGAAAUCAAUAACUGGGGUGAAGUCGUAACAAGGUAGC
rnacentral:rRNA from 1 species